GCCCCCGCCUGCCCGCGCGCGCACACUCGGCCCCCCACGGCCGGACCCACAAGGGUGGCGCGCGAACCCCGCGGGCCGAGGGGACCCCGCCUCCCGGCCGGCAGGGCGCAGGGCGAGGGGGAGCGCACCCCGACUUCCCUGGAUCACAUGGGCUGCGGGGGGCGGGUGGAUCGGGGGAGGGGAGGCGCGGGGAGCUCGCUGCGGCUCCUCACCCGGACCAGGGAGAAGACGCCCCCCACCCUCUCUAGUUCGCCCUCUCCAUUCAAGUUUGCCGGCCCCUGCCGCCGAGAUCCGGGGAUGGCACCGGCCGCCCGCCCUCCGCUGUGCCCUGUUUCCAGCCACCGCUCAGAAAUUUAGGUCAAGGACGUCGGGAGCAAACCCACACCCUGGCGCUCGUUUGACGGCCCCAGAGACCCCCCAGGAUCGGGGGGCUUCAGGAUGGCGGAGACCCUCCUGCACAAACACCAGCCACAAGUUUUAUUUUCCUUUUGCGCUGGAAGUUCUCUCUGGCUCUCGCUCCACACCGGCAUGUCUUGCGCGGUUCCCCGCCCUUCCUCAGUAGAGGAUUAGGAGACAAAGGGAUACACUCAACACCAAAACUGUACCAAAUCCACUGUGGGCUUUGGAAAAAUCGAAUAUUUGGAAAAUCUCAACACCAGCCAUAGUAGCCUUGAGUGACCAGACCCUCAAUCUCCCUGUUCCCUAAAUUGCAGUAAUUCCUCCUUGACAGGAUUGAUGGGGUGAAGCUCACUCAAUGUAGCCCCUGCAUCAGGAGAAUUCAAGCAGCACAAUAUCAGUCCUCAACCCUCUGAAAGUCUCAACAGCCCAAGACAAUGUUGGACACUUCCUUUUUCAAACUCAAUCUUCCAGGAUGGGUUUAAACACAUGUUGAUGCCACUCAAAUUGAAAUCUCCAGCCCCACCCUUCCUGAAGAGCUCCAGGCUCUGGUCAAUUUCCUAUUCAACAUCUCCACUUAGCCUUUCUAAAGGAAGCCCAAGUUCAAAUCCAUCUUUCUUGCUACUGCAUCCCAGAUCUCCCACCUGAGGCCCUGCAACAGCUUACAAAACAGUCUUCCCACAUCCACCCUUACUCCACUUACGUGCCCGGAAAUCUUUCCCAGACCUCUCUGACAGGGUCGAAUGCCCUUUGAUAUGCCGUUACCUUACCAGAACGUCCUCUGUGUAACUUACCAGAACGUCCUCUGUGUACCUUACCCUGUAUGAUCAUUUGCUUUAUUGCCCAUCUCCUCUAAGCCAGAAGCUCCCGUCCCUUUCUGCUCUCCAUGUACCAGCACAGUGCCUGCUGGCUCACGGUUGAUGCUCAAUAAAUAAUGAUUGACUGAAUGAGUGAGUGGAUGAAUGAAUGAAUGAAUGAAUGAUGGCCAACAUUUAAUUUCAUUCUAGGAUUCUUUUUGUAUUCAUGUUCAUAAGUCAAAUUGGCUGCAGUUUUCC